GCUGGGCGUGGUGGUGGGUGCCUGUAGUCCCAGCUACUUGGGAGGCUGAGGCAGAAGAAUUGCUUGAACCCAGGAGGUGGAGGCUGCAGUGGGCCAAGAUAGCACCACUGCGCUCCAGCCUGGGCAACAGAGCAAGACUCUGUCUCAA
ensembl:misc_RNA Metazoa_SRP Metazoan signal recognition particle RNA